GAUGAACGCUGGCGGCGUGCUUAACACAUGCAAGUCGAACGAAGCAUUCCGCUUCAAAGCCUUCGGGCCGAGAUUGGAAUGACUGAGUGGCGGACGGGUGAGCAACGCGUGGGUAACCUGCCUUAUACAGGGGGAUAACAGUUGGAAACAGCUGCUAAUACCGCAUAAGCGUACAGUGUCGCAUGACACGGUGCGAAAAACUCCGGUGGUAUAAGAUGAACCCGCGUCUGAUUAGCUAGCUGGUGAGGUAACGGCCCACCAAGGCGACGAUCAGUAGCCGGCCUGAGAGGGUGAACGGCCACAUUGGGACUGAGAAACGGCCCAAACUCCUACGGGAGGCAGCAGUGGGGAAUAUUGCACAAUGGGGGAAACCCUGAUGCAGCGACGCCGCGUGAGUGAAGAAGUAUUUCGGUAUGUAAAGCUCUAUCAGCAGGGAAGAAAAUGACGGUACCUGACUAAGAAGCCCCGGCUAACUACGUGCCAGCCGCCGCUGUAAUAC
rnacentral:rRNA from 1 species